GAGCCCUUCUUUCUUCAAAAUAUGCUUGCUGUCUCUUUGAAACUUACUCCUUUCUUCAAAAUAUGCUUCCUUUCUCCAGAUUGUAACGGCUGCAGCAAUGUUCAAAGUAUAGGCACCACUAGCCUUCACUUUGCCACGUACAGUCCUUGCAUCCCCAGAUGCCAACAGCCUUCCUCUCUUCCUUCUCCUCUGCUUUCUACUGCAGAUGGGUGGUGUCCGGCGGAUCUAUCUGGGGAAGGCCGCAGAAGGCUCGUCGGCGUCGAUGAUGGCUGCAGAUGAUGUCGCCGGCGUUUGGUUCGUCGACGUCGCUGAUGGCUGCAGGUGAGUACAAAGUGAAGGAGGUAUGGGUACUGGUAAAAGAAGAACAGAACCUGUUCUUGUGAGUUUGUGCUUGAUUUUUUGAAUAAGGAUAUGGGGAAGAACAAAAGUUCUUUGGGUAUUGUUUCUGGUAUUUGGUAAGAUGAAGAAACUAAUUUCUUCUCUUGUAUUUCUUAUAUGGAUAUGUUUUCUGGGUAUUGGUUAAGAUGAAGAAACAAGGUUCUUCUCUUGGUA